UACGUAGGUGGCAAGCGUUGUCCGGAUUUACUGGGUGUAAAGGGCGUGUAGGCGGGAGAUCAAGUCAGAUGUGAAAUACCGAGGCUCAACUUCGGGGCUGCAUUUGAAACUGAUUUUCUUGAGUGUCGGAGAGGAAAGCGGAAUUCCUAGUGUAGCGGUGAAAUGCGUAGAUAUUAGGAAGAACACCGGUGGCGAAGGCGGCCCACUGGAUCGGUACUGACGCUGAGGUGCGAAAGCGUGGGGAGCAAACAGG
rnacentral:rRNA from 1 species